rnacentral:rRNA from 1 species
CGCUGAGUUUGAUCCUGGCUCAGAUUGAACGCUGGCGUAAUGCUUUACACAUGCAAGUCGAACGGUAGAGGGGGCAACCCCUUGAGAGUGGCGAACGGGUGAGUAAUAUAUCGGAACGUGCCCAGUCGUGGGGGAUAACGUAGCGAAAGUUACGCUAAUACCGCAUACGAUCUAAGGAUGAAAGCGGGGGAUCGCAAGACCUCGCGCGAUUGGAGCGGCCGAUAUCAGAUUAGGUAGUUGGUGAGGUAAAGGCUCACCAAGCCAACGAUCUGUAGCUGGUCUGAGACGGACGACCCAG